ACACCGGCGGCCCGAGUGGUAACCGCUUUUAUUGGGUCUAAAGGGUCUGUAGCCGGCCAAGUAAGUCCCUUGGGAAAUCUGGCAGCUUAACUGUCAGGCUGCUAGGGGAUACUGCCAGGCUUGGGACCGGGAGAGGUGAGAGGUACCUUGGGGGUAGGGGUGAAAUCUUGUGAUCCUCGGGGGACCACCAGUGGCGAAGGCGUCUCACCAGAACGGGUCCGACGGUAAGGGACGAAAGCUAGGGGCACGAACCGGAUUAGAUACCCGGGUAGUCCUAGCCGUAAACGAGGCUCGCUAGGUGUCAGUCACGGUGCGACCGGGAUUGGUGCCGUAGGGAAGCCGUGAAGCGAGCCACCUGGGAAGUAUGGCCGCAAGGCUGAA
rnacentral:rRNA from 1 species